GACGGACGCUGGCGGCGUGCUUAACACAUGCAAGUCGAACGGAAAGGCCCUGCUUUUGUGGGGUGCUCGAGUGGCGAACGGGUGAGUAACACGUGAGUAACCUGCCCUUGACUUUGGGAUAACUUCAGGAAACUGGGGCUAAUACCGGAUAGGAGCUCCUGCUGCAUGGUGGGGGUUGGAAAGUUUCGGCGGUUGGGGAUGGACUCGCGGCUUAUCAGCUUGUUGGUGGGGUAGUGGCUUACCAAGGCUUUGACGGGUAGCCGGCCUGAGAGGGUGACCGGCCACAUUGGGACUGAGAUACGGCCCAGACUCCUACGGGAGGCAGCAGUGGGGAAUAAUGCACAAUGGGCGGAAGCCUGAUGCAGCAACGCCGCGUGCGGGAUGACGGCCUUCGGGUUGUAAACCGCUUUCGCCUGUGACGAAGCGUGAGUGACGGUAAUGGGUAAAGAAGCACCGGCUAACUACGUG
rnacentral:rRNA from 1 species